AAGGACGAAUUCUUCGGGAAUAAGCUUAGGAAGCACUGCUGUGUGUACUGUAGAGUCUGACGGAUGUCGGCAGACUCUAUUUUUUUAU
rnacentral:sRNA from 1 species